ACGGAAGGCAGCAGUGGGGAAUAUUGCACACUGGGCGCAAGCCUGAUGCUGCGAUGCCGCGUGAGGGAAGAAGGUUUUCGGAUUGUAAACCUCUGUCAACAGGGACGAAAAUGACGGUACCUGUGAAGGAAGCUCCGGCUAACUACGUGCCAGCAGCCGCGGUAAUACGUAGGUGGCAAGCGUUAUCCGGAUUUACUGGGUGUAAAGGGCGCGUAGGCGGGGAUGCAAGUCAGAUGUGAAAUCUAUGGGCUUAACCCAUAAACUGCAUUUGAAACUGUAUCUCUUGAGUGUCGGAGAGGUAGAUGGAAUUCCUAGUGUAGCGGUGAAAUGCGUAGAUAUUAGGAGGAACACCAGUGGCGAAGGCGAUCUACUGGACGAUAACUGACGCUGAGGCGCGAAAGCGUGGGGAGCAAACAGGAUGAGAUACCCUGGUA
rnacentral:rRNA from 1 species